rnacentral:rRNA from 1 species
GAUGAACGCUGACAGAAUGCUUAACACAUGCAAGUCAACUUGAAUUUGGGUUUUUAACUUAGAUUUGGGUGGCGGACGGGUGAGUAACGCGUAAAGAACUUGCCUCACAGCUAGGGACAACAUUUAGAAAUGAAUGCUAAUACCUGAUAUUAUGAUUUUAAGGCAUCUUAGAAUUAUGAAAGCUAUAAGCACUGUGAGAGAGCUUUGCGUCCCAUUAGCUAGUUGGAGAGGUAACAGCUCACCAAGGCGAUGAUGGGUAGCCGGUCUGAGAGGAUGAACGGCCACAAGGGGACUGAGACACGGCCCUUACUCCUACGGGAGGCAGCAGUGGGGAAUAUUGGACAAUGGACCGAGAGUCUGAUCCAGCAAUUCUGUGUGCACGAUGAAGUUUUUCGGAAUGUAAAGUGCUUUCAGUUGGGAAGAAAAAAAUGACGGUACCAACAGAAGAAGUGACGGCUAAAUACGUGCCAGCAGCCGCGGUAAUACGUAUGUCACGAGCGUUAUCCGGAUUUAUUGGGCGUAAAGCGCGUCUAGGUGGUUAUGUAAGUCUGAUGUGAAAAUGCAGGGCUCAACUCUGUAUUGCGUUGGAAACUGUAUAACUAGAGUACUGGAGAGGUAAGCGGAACUACAAGUGUAGAGGUGAAAUUCGUAGAUAUUUGUAGGAAUGCCGAUGGGGAAGCCAGCUUACUGGACAGAUACUGACGCUAAAGCGCGAAAGCGUGGGUAGCAAACAGG